rnacentral:rRNA from 1 species
ACGUAUGACCCGAAACCAGGUGAGCUAACCAUGGGCAGGGUGAAUCCCACCGAAAGGUGUGGAGGAGGCCCGCACCCGUUGUCGGUGUAACGACAUGGGACGAUCUGUGGUUAGAGGUAAUAUGCCUAUCGAACCUGGAGAUAGCUGGUUCUCCCCGAAAUAUAUUUGGGUAUAGCCUCUUGUUUUUAAGUCGCGGGGUAGAGCUACUAGAUGAGUCAGGGAGCCUUUGGCGACCGGACCCAACUAAACUCCGAAUACGCGACGGAUAGCAAGGGAGUCAGUCCCGCCGGGAUAAGCCGGUGUGGUCAAAAGGGAAACAUCCCAGAUUCUCGUCUAAGGUUCCUAAAUGAUUUUUAAGUGGAUAAGGCCGUUUAUUUUCCAAGACAGCAGGAAAGUUGGCUUAGAAGCAGCCAUCUUUUAAAGAGUGCGUAACAGCUCACCUGAAUACUUCGCCUUCGGGCGAAGUGGAAGAUAGGCGCCGAAAAUGAACGGAGCUAAAUUAUCUACCGAAGACGGAAACCCAAAAGCGUAAAGCUUUUAGGUGGUAGGGGAGCAUCCCAUGAACAGUGAAGGUGAAUCGUAAGGUUUGCUGGAGAACAUGGGAGAGAGAAUGCUGACAUGAGUAGUGUAUCUGCCUGUGAAAAUCAGGCAUGCCGAAAGCCCGAGGUUUCCUCAGCAAUGUCAAUCAUCUGAGGGUAAAUCGGAUCUAAGGGUGUACCGUUAAGGUGCAACCGAUGUACAAGCCGUUAAUAUUCGGCUAUCAUGCGUUGUGCGUUAUCACUUUAUUUGUGACGAAGUGUGCGAAGCAUAACUUUCUAUAUGGGAGUCUAAGCAACAAACUUUUUGUGAGUUGUUAAUGCAAGUUUGAUGGCAACAUCAGGCGAGUAUGCAGUAGUAUGUUUCCGGGAAAAGCAGAUAAAGGAGUGCAACGUGUGUCCGUACCGCAAACCAACACUGGUGGGCUGGUCGAGUAGACUAAGGCAAACGAGUAAGGGUGGUUCAAGGAACUCGGCAAAAAAGCUGAGCGUAAGCUAUGCGAGAAGCUCUGUCCCGAUUUAUCGGGAUUACAACAAAAGAUUAUCAACCGACUGUUUACCAAAAACACAGGCUCCUGCAAACCUCAAAAAGGAACGUAUAGGAGCUGAAACCUGUCCAGUACUGGUAAGUUAACUAUCGGGGUUGACCUUUGAUUCGUCGAAGAAAGGCUCUGAUAUAAGCUCCAGUGAACGACAGCUCUAACCCUGAGAGUUCUAAGGUAGCGUAACCCCUUGCCGGGUAAGUUCCGGCCCGCAUGAAAGGUCCAACGAGUUGAUAACUGUCUUGAACUGCUGCUCGACGAAAUUGAAAUGGCUGUGAAGAUGCGGCCUACCUGCACUUGGACAAAAAGACCCCGGGAGCUUUACUGAAACUUGAUAUUGAUAAUGGAUUUUCAACUGUUUAGCGUAGGAGGGAGACUUCGGUCGCCAAUGAAACACCUCUCUUUGAAUGUUCAAAGUCUAAUCUCGCUUUAUGCGGGAAACAGUAUUAGGCGGUCAGUUUGGCUGGGGCGGCCUUCUCCAAAAAAGUAACGGAGAAGCGCAAAGGUUGGCUUAUUCCGGAUGGAAAUCGGAAUGGAAGUGUAAACGCACAAGCCAGCUUAACUGCGAGAAUGACUAUUCGAGCAGAUACGAAAGUAGGCGUUAAUGAUCCUCGAAUCCGCUGUGAUCGCGGAUCGGGCUUAACGGAUAAAAGUUACCCCGGGGAUAACAGGCUAGUCGCUUCCGAGAGUUCAUAUCGACGAAGCGGUUCGGCACCUCGAUGUCGGCUCACCGUAUCCUGGAGGGGUAGUACCUUCCAAGGGUCGGGCUGUUCGCCCGUUAAAACGGUACGCGAGCUGGGUUCAGAACGUCGUGAGACAGUUGACCUAUAAUAGUUGUAUUAACUAUUAAACGAGCUGUCUCUUUCCUUCGAUGUUUGGGUCUUCGAGAUAAAGUGUUAUUAAGGUCUUUUUGUAUUACAAUAAGGAAAUAUAAAUCUGGCUAUAUGCUGGAAAACCUUGGAAAUAAUAAGCUACUUACGGUUUUUUAAUCGCAGUGAAAAUGCUUAUUAAGCCCCGGUCAUACCGGGGGUAACGAGACAAUCAGCAGGAAAGAUUUUUUAGAUAUGCUUGUGAUUC